AUGCGGUCGAGGUCUCUACAUGAACUGCAGCUCUCAUCCUCCACCGCCUCAGUCAGCGUCUUUCCCUUCACUGAACAAAAGCCCUGUUUCCGCGGCUUCCAACUCUGCACAGUGCCCACACGCCUCCCGCCCCCCCCCGGGCCUUCCUUCUGUCAAGUCGACUCCCUCUUCAGAUGGCUCCCGCAGAAGCCUGUCAGUCAGGGAGGACCAGGAAGCCAGAUCCCAGCAACCCCACGUCUCACACACUCCCCUUCAACACCGUCCACAGAACUUCAGGACUCCAGCUGCCUCCCCUUCACACUGAAGAGCGGGAGCAGAGGACCCGCUUUGCUGACCCUGAGAAGCAGGACAGACCCCCAGGAGCAGAUGAGCCAUGAACCAGCGGAAGGCGGCCUGGACGCCUGCGAUGCCUCAGGCAGAUUCUUUACCGUUUGAGCCACCAGGGAAGCCUAAAGAAAAAUUAGCCUGGAAGAAGAGAAAAUAUUCACUGGAAAAGGGAGCAAAGCAAGCUGAAAAGGGAUUUGUCAAUCCCGAAUGAGAAACAGCGAAAGCCGUACCAUACACUGGAAGAUUUAGGAACAGGAACUCUUAGGUUGCCCGUGUGAAUUGCAGAGGUGAACCCCAAAUCAACAGCUCUUAAUACUAACCAGUUUAUUGUAACAGAAGAAAAUUGAACACAAAAAAUCGGUAAAAAUAUAAUAAAGACAACUCCAACAAUAAUACUUCAACUUUUUGCUUGUAAUUCAAUUAUUCGAAACUCAGUACAGGAUUCCCUAGAAGCCGAGACUGUGUGAUGAUCCACAGGGGAGCUUCCUGUCCUCCACCCUGGGGCACCCUGAAGCACAGGGCUUAUUAGCACAUUCUGUGUGACUCUGGAGGCUCAGGGAGGCUAGCUUCCUCAAGGGACACCUCGCAGUCCGGGCUCCGCGCGCUCUCUGGGACGUCGGUGGGCAGGGGCCCUGACCAGGGUCUGGGCGCCUUGAGACUUGGUUCUGAGCAGAGAGGAGGGGUCUGUGCAACCCCGUUUUGGAGCAGAAUCAGCAGGGCUGGGGAGCCACUGUGCAGCCUGGGGCAACCUGGCUCAGGGGCCGGCGAUCCAGCCAUGGUGUUUGCUCAUGACAUCUGUGAGCACCAUUUCAGCUGCGUGUGGCGUCAAACAGGAUUUCCUGGGCUUCUGCCCCAGCAAUUCCCAUAAUUUUAAGGCUGCUGUUUCCAUAGAGAAAUAUUUCGUGUUUUAAACAAUUGAGUUGAAAUAAACUUUUGAAUUUCAACUUUUAUGUGUUAGCAUUCCUAGUUAGGAUUACAGUGUUAGCAUUUGUCAAAGGCUUAAGCAAAUUCUGAACUACUUACUCUGAUAGGGAUAGCCCUGGGGUUAAGUCUAAGAAUAGUUUCUCAACAUUUUAAAACUCUUUUGAACAAUUUGCUUUUCUUGAAUGAAAUGAUGUAAAAUUGUCAUGCGUGAGUCUUUUUCUCUCUAAAGUCUUCAUGGUGAAUGAACAUCAGAUUUUAAUAUUUUAAAUAUACUUUCAUCAGGUAAUGAGAACUAAUUCUCUACCACAGUUUCUUUCCUCUUUUAGUCAUGGCUACCAUGAAGCUUCUAGAAGGAUGGAUUGAUUUAAUCAUAGUCUUUGAAGUUUUAAGGGGAGGAAGGUUUAACACUGAGGCUAAAGAGAGUUAUUGGGAUCAAGUGAGAGAACAGGGUGGAGGUUGGAGGGGACAGGGCCUCUGGAUCUGACUCUGGUUCAAGCCCUGUUCUCAGCCAAGAAGGAUGAGACACUGGUCUUUGUCAGUUACCCUACAUAAAUAAGUAUUCAGUUCAAUUGUUCAACUGUAUCUGAUUCUGUGUGACCCCAUGGACUGCAGCAUGCCAGGCUUCCCUGCCCAUCACCAACUCCCGGAGCCAACUCAAACUCAUGGCAUCGGUGAUGCCGUCCAACAAUCUCAUCCUCUUUUGUCCCCUUCUCCUCCUGCCUUCAAUCUUUCCCAGCAUCAGGGUCUUUUCCAGUGAGUCGGUUCUUUGCAUCAGGUAGCCAAAGUAUUGGAAUUUCAGCUUUAACAUCAGUCCUUCCAAAGAAUAUUCAGGACUGAUUUCCUUUAGGAUUGACAGGUUGGAUCUCCUUGCAGUCCAAGGGACU
rnacentral:lncRNA from 1 species